AUUUAGAGGGAAGAUCUUAAAUCAUAGGAGAAUGGGGGAAGGGAAGGUCUUACAAUCACUCACUGAGGACACAGGAUCCAUCAAUGUCCAUCCUCUCUGCAGGGCACUAAUUGCCAUGUCCAUGAAAGGAGCUUGAGAGACCUGAGGGGAUGGGCUCCCAAGAAACCAAGAGUUUUCUGCUGUGUGAGGUCCAAGUCCUGGCAUGAACUUCCAUGACAAUUUACUUCUCUCUGAAGCUUUUGAAGAAUGGACAUGCCCUCUGAGGACCUCAUGUCAGAUUCCUGAAGGAUGCCCAAGCAGGCCACAUCAAACCCUCCUGUGAAGAAGACUAUUUCUCUUGGGCUGGCAUUAUCCCUAGAGGGACACAGGAAUGAAAGAGAGAUGCAAAGCCCAAUGACAUUGUAGGUGGCUGAGCCAUAAAGAACUCUACAGGAUCAAACUGUGAACCCUAAACAUCUCUACAGGAUCAAACUGCCUCUUCAUCAAGUCAUUUUCACAGAAAAUUUUGCUCUUGGAGCCACUCUAAGUCUUCUUAUUCAGUACUGCAGGUAGGGACAGAAGGAAACUUUUGAAGUGAAACAACUGCCCAGGAAAAUUUCUGACUGAUAUUCUCAGGCCAAGCUACCUCUUUGUGGAUGGGGAACUUCAAAUUCAGCCUUUGCUUGGUUUGGAGCAGAGCUUGAGAGUCACUUUUCUUCUCCAAAAGGAGUCAAAAUUACAGUCUUCUUCUGGAAGAGUUGCACUUUAUCUAGAACCACUCUUCACCAUGGCAACAUCUUGACUCCACUAAUUCAAUUAAGGACCAUGAUGGUUAGGAUGGUUUUCUCUUAUAUUAUACAGCCUAUAGGAAGACAUACAACAGUCUUGUGACUCAAGAACUCUCCUAGAGAUGACUCAUGGUAUCAGGUUCCUGUUUUGGUCUGGAGAGUGAAAAGACAGGUUUCUUCUGGUGCAGAUAUAGGCUGCAAUAUCUAGAUAAAGAAGGGCAGCACUGGCACCAGCCCUGCUGUCAGACUGCUCACCGCCUUGGGUGUGGGGACAGAGAGUGGCACACAAAUUGUGAGUGUGGAAGACGCUCUGCAGAUCACUAGGUCACUUUCCAUAUUUCAAGAAAAAGAAAUGUAUUGCUCAAAGGGUUCCCUGAAAAAAAAACCCACUUCUGUGCUUUCAGGGUAGGCAGAAACUGAGUGUCAGGGUUGAAAUUUUAGUGCUACUAAAAUGUUAGACUUUUCCAUUUAAUGGCCUGAGAUCAGCCUGAAAACUUAAAUCAAUCUGCUUUAGAAGCAGGUUGUUUUUUAUGCUGGUGGUUAACACCUUGGAUGAAAGGGACUGUAACGCUAUCCUUGUUUAUGGACUCUCUGGAAACACUCCAGGAUGUGACUUUGUCCCAUGACUGUACUUUGAGAAACUUCCUCUUCUACUGUGGUCUAACUGUGCUACGUGGCUGAGAUUUACAGUCUGAGCUGAGCACAGGUGUGACAGCUGAGGUGUCACCUCAGAGAGAGAGGCACAGAGCCAUCCGCAGUGCACAGAACCCGUGCUGCUCCCUAAACUGGGAGUGCCAGUGCUGCCCCAAAGAUGGGCAUGGGCAGCAGAAAUGAGGAUCUGAGAACCUGGCUUUCUUCUUGAUUCUUGACUGCUGAAGGUGGAAAAUCUUUAAGUCACCCUAAGAGUUUCAGAGCAGCUGAGGGAAACAGCAUGUUACCUAACUUUCCAUAAAAGUUCCAUUUCCCAUUGAACUUCUCCUCUACCUGAGAAAAUCCCAGUUAAGCAAACCUGCAUGAUUACUCUCCAGGGAAGUAGAAGAAGAAAGUAAAAAAAUAAUGGUAGCCACAUAAAGGAAAAAAAGAUAUGCAAUGAAAAGCUUCACUCUUUGGUUUCAUGCUGCAGUCACUGAACUUAGCUGUUUGUCCCCUAAAAUAAUAAGAUCAUAAGUCAUAGUAUAAUUAAGGUUAGAAGAGACCUCCAGAGGUCAUCUGGUCCCUCUUUUAUUUUUCAUUCAGACAUUCUCCUGACCUGAGUGUGGCAAUCUGUCAAAUAACAUCCUUGUUAUUAGGUGUCUCUUUGUAAAUAUGUUACAGUGAUUUGCACCUCUCCAAUCUGAGAUGUAAUCCUAAGGAUUUUCUUGCUCUGACAAAACAAAUACAGCCUCAGUAUUCAUAAAAAGUUAGACACUGAAAUAAUAUUGAGUAAUCUUUUAACUGUAAACAAUGUGGUCAAGGGGAUGCAGUGGGAGAAGAGCAGGGAAAGGCAAUAAGGAUUCACAUCCGUGUUGUGCACUCUCCCUAAUGUACACAAGGCCAGAGGAAGAAAGCUGUGCACGGAUGACUGCUCUGACUCAGAAACAUUAAAUAAAACAGGCCUAUGAACUGUAAACACUGUUUGCCUUAAUCUGAAUUUUCUCACUGAUGCCUUCUAUUGUGUCUAUAUAAUAAUUCAUGCCUAAUAUCUUUGCAUAAUCUGCAUAUAUGACAGGAUAUAUCGAACAGACAGCAUGUAAUUCUAAAUACCUGCUAGAAGACAUUACAAGUUCAUAUAUGUGCUCAAAUGUUUUGUAAGCCCAAGUUGCUGUGAAAAUGUCUAUUAUUUCAUUCCUUCAUCUGCUGUAGAACUGAGGGUACUUCAGAGACCUAGUAAUCUGACAUUCAUGCCAUUUAAAACUGAAUAAAGUCCAAGAAAAAUAAUAUAGGAAAAAUAAUAUAGGAAAUUAUGCAUCACUGGAGGAAGAGGGAAAGUUUGGCUGCAUUCCUUAUACUCAUUAAGAGGCUUCUGUUCCAGAUUUCAAAAAUGUAAAUAGGAUGAGAUCUCAGAGGAGUCGAUGAGAGUUGAACUGCAUAAGGGGUCAAAAUAAAGGUCUGUCUAAAUCA